UGGAGAAUGCACACUUUAUAUAGAAGCACAAGCUUUAACACAAACUAGUUGGAAACAUUCUUCCUGAAACAGCAUAAAGAGAAUAAUUAAUGUAAAGCAAAAACCAUAGGUGAGGUGCACCAUCCCCCUUCUUCUCCUCAAAAAAGAAAACAGAAAUUCCGAGAGCACUUUUUAAUACGAUAAUUGAGAAAGACUCGGCCCAAGAGCUCAGGUCUUCCUUAGGCAGAGUGAGAACCUUGGAGCACACAGAUAAAGAAAUGAAAACUAGACAGUGGCUGGCUGGAAGCCCUUGCAGAUUGUAAUGCAUCCACCCAGCUCUUGACUUGAGCAUGUCACCUCUCUGCACAUCAGAGGCAAGAGUGCAGUUACCUGAAGGGGACAAAUGACUGAUCUUCCAUCACACUACAGAUUAAAGGAACUCUAGGAUUUAACUACAGUUGUGCCACCAUAAGAGCCACUAAAGUACGCACAACUGAGACAGCUGGAGAGCACCCACACACCUAGGACCAUCAGUUCCACCGCGUGUCAGAGAAGGGCUGUAUGAGGAGCAAGCUCAGCAGCAACCUACAACUGCUGAGCUGGUGGGUCUGUGAGUGGCAACCGUGCUUCCGGCUGGGGCAGUGCCACUGAAAGGGGAUCCCCACUUCUGAUAAGCAGCAGGAGCACGGAAACAAUAGGUGAUUUGAUGAGAGCUGCUCUACGAUACUCCUGAGAAGCCCCACAGCCAGCCCCGGCCAGAGAGGAAAUUGGGGGUUUCCACAGCAACCUGCUGAGGGCACAAAGGCCCAACUGUUUAGAGGGAAGCAAUGGAGGUGUCUCAGCACUCAUGUUUUAAGAAGGGACAGGGGUGGAGGGCUGGAGUCCUUCUGAAGCCAAAGCAAGAGCAUUUUUGUAUAGCAAGAGUUUAAUUGGCUAUUGGUCCUAUAACCAGGGAGGAGCAGUGCUGGAGAAGAGGAAAUAGUUACCACAGUCUUGAGCCUAGCUAACAGGUAGGGUCAAGACUGCACCUUGGCAGGUGAAAAACAAGCUGCAAGAAAAGCAUGGCACUUGGCUUCCUAAUCUUAUUAACAUAGCCCAUGACACGGAAAAAAAGAAUGAUGACCAAACUGGUAAAGAGAAGAAAGUCUUCUCUUGGGCAUGUAAGA
rnacentral:lncRNA from 1 species